rnacentral:rRNA from 1 species
UGCCAGCAGCCGCGGUAAUACGGAGGUUGCAAGCGUUGUUCGGAAUUACUGGGCGUAAAGGGGGCGCAGGCGGUUCGAUUAGUCGGUCGUGAAAGCCCGGGGCUCAACCCCGGGAGGCCGGUCGAAACUGUUGUGACUAGAGUUCGGUAGAGGUGAGUGGAAUUCCCGGUGUAGCGGUGGAAUGCGCAGAUAUCGGAAGGAACACCAGUGGCGAAGGCGACUUCCUGGGCCAAUACUGACGCUGAGGUGCGAAAGCGUGGGGAGCAAACAGGAUUAGAUA